AUUGAACGCUGGCGGCAGGCCUAACACAUGCAAGUCGAGCGAGCGGCGGACGGGUGAGUAAUGUAUGGGGACUGCCCGAUAGCGGGGGAUAACUACUGGAAACGGUGGCUAAUACCGCAUAAUGUCGGAUAAGCCAUAUGGGAUUGGCUAGUAGGUAAGGUAAUGGCUUACCUAGGCGGCGAUCCCUAGCUGGUCUGAGAGGAUGAUCAGCCACACUGGGACUGAGACACGGCCCAGACUCCUACGGAGGCAGCAGUGGGGAAGAUUGCACAAUGGGCGAAAGCCUGAUGCAGCCAUGCCGCGUGUAUGAAGAAGGCCUUAGGGUUGUAAAGUACUUUCAGUCGGGAGGCGUUACCGACAGAAGAAGCACCGGCUAACUCCGUGCCAGCAGCCGCGGUAAUAC
rnacentral:rRNA from 1 species